rnacentral:lncRNA from 1 species
AAAAAAGGGGCAAAAAAUAAAACUGUUCUUAAACUUUGAUGAAUUACUUAAUUUCUUUACCAAUUUCAGUAUUGAAUUCUUAGGAUUCUAUUAUAUGCUAUAGCUAAGUCUCAACGUGUAUUUAUAUUUUGGACUUUGGGCCCCAUAUUUUAAUCGGUUCACAAACAGGUCUAAAGGGUCCACACAUAAAAUGUGCUUGAUUUCAUCAAAAAUUAACUUAUUGAUUAAACAAUAACAAAAAGCUUUCAUGUCAGUUACUGUCAUCAGAGAUGAAAUUACAGUAUUAUGAGGAAACAAUUUAAAUGUGCAUUGUGCGCAAUACAGGUACUGAGAAGGCAAAGCAUCCAUUUAAAACAAUCAAAAACAAAAC